rnacentral:rRNA from 1 species
UACGAAGGGGGCUAGCGUUGUUCGGAAUUACUGGGCGUAAAGAGCACGUAGGCGGAUAUUUAAGUCAGGGGUGAAAUCCCAGAGCUCAACUCUGGAACUGCCUUUGAUACUGGGUAUCUUGAGUAUGGAAGAGGUAAGUGGAAUUCCGAGUGUAGAGGUGAAAUUCGUAGAUAUUCGGAAGAACACCAGUGGCGAAGGCGACUUACUGGACACAUAUUGACGCUGAGGUGCGAAAGCGUGGGGAGCAAACAGG